rnacentral:rRNA from 1 species
GGACGCUAAUACCGCAUACGUCCUACGGGAGAAAGCGGGGGAUCUUCGGACCUCGCGCCAUUAGAUGAGCCUAGGUCGGAUUAGCUAGUUGGUGAGGUAAUGGGCUCACCCAAGGCGACGAUCCGUAACUGGUCUGAGAGGAUGAUCAGUCACACUGGGACUGAGACCACGGCCCAGACUCCUACGGGAGGCAGCAGUGGGGAAUAUUGGACAAUGGGCGAAAGCCUGAUCCAGCCAUGCCGCGUGUGUGAAGAAGGUCUUCGGAUUGUAAAGCACUUUAAGUUGGGAGGAAGGGUAGUAACCUAAUACGUUGCUACUUUGACGUUACCGACAGAAUAAGCACCGGCUAACUUCGUG